AAUAGGGUCAUACAGCUCGGAAAACUCAAAGCAAGCCAGUGAUUCCAGCCAUGAAAGCCUUCGCCAACAUAAUAUGAUCCAGUUCAAAGCAGGUAAUCUGGAUUUUAUAUGGCAAUGUAGAUGGGGCCUAAGAGUGAUCGAAGGUGUUGCCAAAAUCUUGUGGAAUGCUAGAUGUUCCAUACAACUGUUUUGUGGAAAACUACUAGAAAUUUGCAUAAAGUAACACCAUUUACUGGUUCUUUCCAUAGUCACACAUUUUUCUAAAGAAAGUUGAAAUCUUGGCCUAAAUCUUUCAGGUUUUCUGUGAAAAAAUACAAGACAUUCAGAGAAGAUAGGCUGGAGACACCAACAGGCAUGGUGAAUGGAAAAGAAUGGAUAUGAAGGGCCUUCUCUGUAGUGGCCUCCUGGCUAUGGAAUUCUCUCCCUAAUGAGGUUAGGUCUGCCCCCAUCCUCCUGACCCUCAGGAAGCAACUGAAAUCCUGGCUUUGGAAUCAGGCAUUCACACAUUGAUGGAUUGAACCGGUAAAGACUAAGAGUUAUUGGACUACAACGUUUGGAUUGCGUUGGAUGAUGUUUUUAACUCUGUGAACUGUCUUUUAUAUGUAUUUUAUAACUUAUUUAUUAUUUAUGUUGUUUUUAAAAAUGUUAUUUAUUGAAUAACAUUGAAAAUAGCAUUGAAUUUUUGCUGUUGUUAGCCAUUCUGUGUCCCUCCACAGAGGUAGAGAAGAAUGGGAAAUAAAAGUUCUAAAUAAAUAAUAUCUAAAUAAAUGAAUAUCUAAGGCUUGAAUUUAUGUAUUACUUGGUCUUCCCACAACCUGGUGUCCUCCAAAUGUGUAGGACUGUCCUAAAUAAAAUAAAUAUUUCUCUGAAG